GUGUUGUAUGAAAGGAGAGAAUGUUAGCACUCCCCUUGACAAGGGUGGAAGAGACCUUCGGGUCUAACUGCACAUACGGUUAAAGUACUUGAGAAAAUUUAGUUCAAUCCUUUCUACUUAAGUAG